rnacentral:rRNA from 1 species
AUGUCUUCCUCAAGCUCCCGCGCCACCUCGCGGAUGCAGAGCCGGGCGCGUGUGGACAUGCCUGUCUUCGUCUGUCCGUGGUGCUGGGCGGGCGUUGAUCGGAGGGUUUCUCAGACACUGAGGGACCAGAAUCGUCCGUUCUACGUGUGCAGCGAGAAUGGGGUGACAUGCUUCUUUCUUUGGGUCAAUGCUUUGGCCAAGACUAUGAAUGAACUGCAAGAAGAGCAUGAAGAAUGGUUGCGCAUGCUGCCACGAGCUGAAGUGGCCGCACCACGAGCUCCGGAAGAAGAGAUGGAGGCGGCACGCACUGACAGAGAGCUAGCUGUUGAGCUUAGGAUGUUGAAGAAGAAGGUUAGGAAGCUUGAAGAUCAAGCACUACCAAUACCCAUUUGCAAAUACUUAUGGGCAUUUGUAGGUAUGGUGAUCGCAUUGGUUGUAAUGUUGAAAAUGUAUGGAAAGGCAUGA